AGUGAACGCUGGCGGUAGGCCUAACACAUGCAAGUCGAACGGCAGCACAGAGGAGCUUGCUCCUUGGGUGGCGAGUGGCGGACGGGUGAGGAAUACAUCGGAAUCUACUCUGUCGUGGGGGAUAACGUAGGGAAACUUACGCUAAUACCGCAUACGACCUACGGGUGAAAGCAGGGGACCUUCGGGCCUUGCGCGAUUGAAUGAGCCGAUGUCGGAUUAGCUAGUUGGCGGGGUAAAGGCCCACCAAGGCGACGAUCCGUAGCUGGUCUGAGAGGAUGAUCAGCGACGCUGGAACUGAGACACGGUCCAGACUCCUACGGGAGGCAGCAGUGGGGAAUAUUGGACAAUGGGCGCAAGCCUGAUCCAGCCAUACCGCGUGGGGGAAGAAGGCCUUCGGGUUGUAAAGCCCUUUUGUUGGGAAAGAAAUCCAGCUGGCUAAUACCCGGUUGGGAUGACGGUACCCAAAGAAUAAGCACCGGCUAACUUCGUGCCAGCCGCCGCAGUAA
rnacentral:rRNA from 1 species